rnacentral:rRNA from 1 species
CCUACGGGAGGCAGCAGUGAGGAAUAUUGGUCAAUGGGCGCGAGCCUGAACCAGCCAAGUAGCGUGAAGGAUGACUGCCCUCCGGGUUGUAAACUUCUUUUAUAAAGGAAUAAAGUGAGGCACGUGUGCCUUUUUGUAUGUACUUUAUGAAUAAGGAUCGGCAAACUCCGUACCAGCAGCCGCGGUAAUACGGAGGAUCCGAGCUUUAUCCGGAUGUAUUGGGUUUAAAGGGAGCGUAGAUGGAUUGUUAAGUCAGUUGUGAAAGUUUGCGGCUCAACCGUAAAAUUGCAAUUGAUACUGGUAGUCUUGAGUACAGUUGAGGUAGUCGGAAUUCGUGGUGUAGCGGUGAAAUGCAUAGAUAUCACACAGAACACCGAUUGCGAAGGCAGCUCACGAAUCCGCGAUUGACGCUGAUGCACGAAAGCGUGGGUAUCAAACAGGAUUAGAUACCCCAGUAGUC